CCUACGGGAGGCAGCAGUGAGGAAUAUUGGUCAAUGGGCGGAAGCCUGAACCAGCCAAGUCGCGUGAGGGAAUGAGGCCCUACGGGUCGUAAACCUCUUUUGCCGGGGAGCAAGGGCGUGGACGUGUCCCGGCCCGGAGAGUACCCGGAGAAAAAGCAUCCGCUAACUCCGUUCCAGCAGCCGCGGUCAUGCGGAGGAUGCGCGCGUUAUGCGGAUUUAUUGGUUUUAAAGGGUGCGUAGGCGGAGCGUUAAGUCAGUGGUAAAAUUGAGGGGCACAACCCCUACCCGCCAUUGAUACUGGCGCGCUUGAGUGGAAGAGAAGUAUGCGGAAUGCGUGGUGUAGCGGUGAAAUGCAUAGAUAUCACGCAGAACCCCGAUUGCGAAGGCAGCAUGCCGGCUUCCGACUGACGCUGAAGCACGAAAGCGUGGGGAUCGAACAGGAUUAGAUACCCCUGUAGUC
rnacentral:rRNA from 1 species